UACGUAGGGUGCAAGCGUUGUCCGGAAUUAUUGGGCGUAAAGAGCUCGUAGGCGGUCUGUCGCGUCUGCUGUGAAAAUCAGGGCUCAACCCUGGACCUGCAGUGGGUACGGGCAGACUAGAGUGCGGUAGGGGAGAUCGGAAUUCCUGGUGUAGCGGUGAAAUGCGCAGAUAUCAGGAGGAACACCGGUGGCGAAGGCGGAUCUCUGGGCCGUAACUGACGCUGGAGGAGCGAAAGCAUGGGGAGCGAACAG
rnacentral:rRNA from 1 species